rnacentral:rRNA from 1 species
UACAGAGGUCCCAAGCGUUGUUCGGAUUCACUGGGCGUAAAGGGUGCGUAGGUGGUGAGGUAAGUUUGAUGUGAAAUCUCCGGGCUCAACCCGGAAAUGGCAUUGAAUACUAUCUUGCUAGAGGAGUGGAGGGGGGACUGGAAUACUUGGUGUAGCAGUGAAAUGCGUAGAUAUCAAGUGGAACACCAGUGGCGAAGGCGAGUCCCUG